rnacentral:rRNA from 1 species
UUACCUUCGGGUAAUGAGGAUGGCGGACGGGUGAGUAACGCGUAAGGAACUUGCCUCUUGGACUGGGACAACUGUUGGAAACGACAGCUAAUACCGGAUAUUAUGAGAUUCUCGCAUGAGAAACUUAUGAAAGCUAUAUGCGCCAAGAGAGAGCCUUGCGUUCCAUUAGCUAGUUGGUGGGGUAACGGCCCACCAAGGCGACGAUGGAUAGCCGGCCUGAGAGGGUGAACGGCCACAAGGGGACUGAGACACGGCCCUUACUCCUACGGGAGGCAGCAGUGGGGAAUAUUGGACAAUGGGCCACAAGCCUGAUCCAGCAAUUCUGUGUGCACGAUGAAGGUCUUCGGAUUGUAAAGUGCUUUCAGUUGGGAAGAAGAAAGUGACGGUACCAACAGAAGAAGCGACGGCUAAAUACGUGCCAGCAGCCGCGGUAAUACGUAUGUCGCAAGCGUUAUCCGGAUUUAUUGGGCGUAAAGCGCGUCUAGGCGGAAAAAUAAGUCUGAUGUUAAAAUGCGGGGCUCAACUCCGUAUUGCGUUGGAAACUGUUUUUCUAGAGUACUGGAGAGGUGGGCGGAACUACAAGUGUAGAGGUGAAAUUCGUAGAUAUUUGUAGGAAUGCCGAUGGAGAAGUCAGCUCACUGGACAGAUACUGACGCUGA